rnacentral:rRNA from 1 species
CAGACACGAAACCAAGUGAUCUAUCCAUGACCAGGUUGAAGCAAAGGUAACACUUUGUGGAGGACCGAACUAGUAACUGUUGAAAAAGUUUUGGAUGAGUUGUGGAUAGGGGUGAAAGGCCAAUCAAACUUGGAGAUAUCUUGUUCUCUUCGAAAAUAACUUUCGGUUAGCCUCGGACAGAGCUUUACAGGGGUAGGAGCACUGAAUUCACGCGGGGCCGUCACCGGCCUACCAAAGGAAAUCAAACUCCGAAUACUGUAAAGUUGUCCGGGAGAUAGACAGCGUGGGAUAAGCUACGUUGUCAAAAGGGGAACGAGCCCAGAUCGCCGAAUAAGGCCCCUAACUUCUAUGCUAAGUGAGUAAGGAAGUGGAGUUUCAAAAACAAGUUGGGAUGUUGGCUUAGAGGCAGCCACCAUUU